CGGGGGGGGGUAAGCGUUGUUCGGAAUUACUGGGCGUAAAGGGCUCGUAGGCGGCCAACUAAGUCAUACGUGAAAUCCCUCAGCUUAACUGGGGAACUGCGUGUGAUACUGGAUGGCUUGGAUUUGGGGAGAGGGAUGCGGAAUUCCAGGUGUAGCGGCGAAAUGCGUAGAUAUCUGGAGGAACACCGGUGGCGAAGGCGGCAUCCUGGACCAAUAUUGACGCUGAGGAGCGAAAGCCAGGGGAGCAAACGGGAUUAGAUACCCCGGUAGUCCUGGCCCUAAACGAUGAAUGCUUGGUGUAGCGGGUAUCGAUCCCUGCUGUGCCGAAGCUAACGCAUUAAGCAUUCCGCCUGGGGAGUACGGUCGCAAGGCUG
rnacentral:rRNA from 1 species